rnacentral:rRNA from 1 species
UGGGGAAUCUUGGACAAUGGGGGCAACCCUGAUCCAGCCAUGCCGCGUGAGUGAUGAAGGCCUUAGGGUCGUAAAGCUCUUUCGCCUGUGAAGAUAAUGACGGUAGCAGGUAAAGAAACCCCGGCUAACUCCGUGCCAGCAGCCGCGGUAAUACGGAGGGGGUUAGCGUUGUUCGGAAUUACUGGGCGUAAAGCGCACGUAGGCGGACCAGAAAGUUGGGGGUGAAAUCCCGGGGGCUCAACCCCGGAACUGCCUCCAAAACUAUUGGUCUAGAGUUCGAGAGAGGUGAGUGGAAUUCCAAGUGUAGAGGUGAAAUUCGUAGAUAUUGGGAAGAACACCAGUGGCGAAGGCGGCUAUCUGGACCGAUACUGACGCUGGAGGCGCGAAAGCGGUGGGGAGCAAACAGGAUUAGAUACCCUGGUAGUCCACGCCGUAAAACGAUGUCUGCUAGUCGUUGGGGGGCGUAGCCCUUCAGUGACGCCGCUAACGCAUUAAGCAGACCGCCUGGGGA